AUGAAGAACGCAGCGAAAUGCGAUAAGUAAUGUGAAUUGCAGAAUUCAGUGAAUCAUCGAAUCUUUGAACGCACAUUGCGCCCGCCAGUAUUCUGGCGGGCAUGCCUGUUCGAGCGUCAUUACAACCCUCAGGCCCCCGGGCCUGGCGUUGGGGAUCGGCGGAAGCCCCCUGUGGGCACACGCCGUCCCUCAAAUACAGUGGCGGUCCCGCCGCAGCUUCCAUUGCGUAGUAGCUAACACCUCGCAACUGGAGAGCGGCGCGGCCAUGCCGUAAAACACCCAACUUCUGAAUGUUGACCUCGAAUCAGGUAGGAAUACCCGCUGAACUUAAGCAUAUCAAUAAGCGGAGGA
rnacentral:misc_RNA from 1 species